rnacentral:sRNA from 1 species
AGAGAGGCGAGUUCUCUCCACCGGACCGGUCGCUGAUCGAUGUACCUCGGGUGAUCACAGCUAUAGAUACCGGGUAUAAAUGCCUAAACAGCGUAGAUUGUUUGAACGAUGAUAAGAUCUGGACGUGUGGAGAUGGAAAAAUUCUGAAACUUUAUAACCUUCAGAAAGAAAUAGUGAAGUCAGUUGAAACCAAAUUUGAGAAUCAGACACGGGACAUAGCAGUUACUAGGAACGAAAAUCUAGUUUUUACCGAAUACAAUGACAGAACUGUUAACGUGCUGUAUGAGAAUGAACAGAUGCAGGCAGUGAUCAAAAUAACGGGUUGGAUUCCUAGAAGUUUAUGUUGUACCUCAUCGAACGACCUUCUUGUUGUCAUGGAGAGUGAUGAUUAUAAACAGAUAAAAGUCGUGCGCUACUCUGGCGCCACAGAAAACAACGCUAUCAGUUUGAUAACAAAAAAAGGCCUCUCUAUUCAUCUGGGUCCGUAAAAUACAUCUGUGAGAACAGGAAUCGCGAUAUUUGCGUAAGUGACUGUAGAGUCCACGCGGUAGUGGUAGUCAAUCAGACCGGGAAACUCCGCUUUACCUACACUGGUCCUCCCUCUACUACCAAGGAAUCUUUCGGUCCUGUUGGUAUUGCUACCGACAGCCUGAGUCGGAUCCUUACAGCAGACUGGAACAAUCACCGUAUCCACAUUGUAAAUGAAGAUGGACAGUUCCUGCGAUACAUAAACAACUGUGAUUUACUCUCUCCCUGGGGUUUAUGUGUGGACUCCAGUGACAACCUCUUUGUGGCAGAAUGGGGCACGGCAAUAGUAAAAAAAAUCAAAUAUUGCAUUUAACGAGGCUUGGUGGUCAAAAAUGAACCAUCACUAUUUCCUUAGAGUAUUAGAUCUGAUUAUUGUAGCUAUAAACUAUUCUUAAGUAUGCAAAACAUUUCCAUUUAUACAAAUAUGUUCUUCUCGAGGAGAUCAAAAUAGUUCAAUAAAGGUCAUGAUCUCC